rnacentral:rRNA from 1 species
GACGAACGCUGGCGGCGUGCUUAACACAUGCAAGUCGAACGGAAAGGCCCUGCUUUUGUGGGGUGCUCGAGUGGCGAACGGGUGAGUAACACGUGAGUAACCUGUCCUUGACUUUCGGAUAUCUCCAGGAAACUGCGGCUAAUACCGGAUAGGAUCUCCUGCUGCACGUUGUGCGUUGGUAAGUUUCGGCCGUUGUGGAUGGACUCGCUGCUUAUCAGCUGGUUUGUGGGGUAGUGGCUUACCCAGGCUUUGACGGGUAGCCUGCCUGGGAGGGUGACCGGCGACACUAGGACUGAGGGACGGCCCAGACUGCUACGGGAGGCAGCAGGGGGGAAUAUGGCAGAAUGGGCGGAAGCCUGAGACAGCGACGCCGCGAGCGGGAUGACGGCCUUCGGGUUGUGAACCGCUUUGGACGGUGACGAGGCGUGAGUGACGGUAAUGGGUCAAGAAGCACCGGCUAACUACGUG